UCCACUUGCAGGAACGUCAAGAGUUUAUUUUCUAAUAUCAAGUGCUGUGUUAAUCAGAAACACAGCCAUAAACAAGUCCUCAGCUUUCUCUUGCUGAUGUGAAUUAACCUCAAUUUUCCAUAAACGGCAAUGGCUGAUGCUUGUUUCAUUUAGAAAAAAAUGAAUUUCUCAAAGUGCUUUCUGGUUUGCAAAGUGCUUUUAUAUCCAUUAGGAUAAUUCUUUCAUUGCACACAGCACCAGAAAUUAAUUCAUUAAUGAAUUCGUAAAACAGUUCUGUGUGGUGGGUACUAUUUUUUUAAUUCAUAUUUUACAGAUGAGGAAGCAUUCUCCCAUUUUAUAGAUCAGAAACCGAUGUUUAGACAGUUAAGUGAUUUGCCAGGCCAUAGACCCAGUGAGUGGUUGAGCCGUCGUUUGAUUUCAAGUAGUCUGGGAGCUGUUACUAUUAACUGCUAUUCUGUUAUCCUGUAAAAAAGGAAGGAAGGAAGGAAGAGUCCUAGUGACACCUAUUUGUUUUGUAGUGUUAAAAAGAAUAUUAUAUUCCAAGGGGACAAUGUUAGUUUUUUUUUUCAGUCACAUUUUAAUAUAUGCAAAAUUAAGUAUUUCAACACCCAAAAGAUAUAAGCCAUUAGGGUUAAUAUUGUCAGCCAAUAAGCCAGUAUUCUGAAUAUAUUUUAUAUAAUAUUUUAUAAAUAAAUACAUGUUUAUAUAAAUAUAUAAAUGUUUAUAUAUAUUUGGUAGUACCCAGCAGUUCCUUAUUAUAAUGUGUUAGGAUUUGCUAAGAAGCAGAUGCUGAAAUGGGAGUUGCUGUGCAGGAGAUUUUUGGGGAGAGGGAGCAGGAAAAGGCGGGGAGAGCCUUUAGGUUGUCAUAGAUGGCUGACACCCUUGGAAGGAGAGAUGGAAAGAAAGAGGGGAGGGUAGAAAGAGUCUCAUUAGAAUGGGGGGCGGUGCACAUCCCAGUAUCCACUAUCUGCCCUGAAGAAACUCACAGCCUCUACUGUGAAUUGUGGGAAAGGCAUUUAUUUAAAAAAAAAUAUACAGACCUGUGCAAAGAUGCUAAGAAACCCUGAGGGGAGACUCUCAGUGGGCUAGUUGAGCGGGUGUGUGUUUAUGUGUAAGUGUGUGCAUGAUGAGGCAAGAGAGUGUUUCAGGAAAGUCUUCCUGCGGGGGAGGUGACACCUGUCUUAGACAAUUGAGUAGGCCUUAGAAGGGAAAGACAGUAAAAUCUCACUGCUGGCCUAAAGUCCUCUGACACUUUUCUGAUGAGUGGCAAGGGCUCUGUGACAUUUCACUCUUGUUAUCCAGUAUUAUUUCAUCACCUUUAUUAACUUUUCGUGCUUUUGUUUCCUGCCCCCUAACACCACUGUGAUGGUGCUCCAAGCAGGCACCGGGUCCUAUUUCUUUGUUUUUCCCACAGUGCAGAGAGCACAGUGUCUGUCCACCUGCAGGCCAGGAGUGUGGGGUUUGGAGGCAUUGACUCCCUUCAACUCUCCUUUGUUUUUUUAAAAAUAUUGGGGUUCCACAUCAUAUUUUGUUCACUAUAACUCAGGUUUGAAACUCGGUGAUGUAGAGGAAAGAGCUUGGGGGAUAUAGAGCCCUGUAAUUGAUCAGAUUGGCCACAUGUUCCAUCCUUGGAGCAGGAUGCGGAGCCAGGCUCCUGGACUGAGGUAAAGGGUGGUUUCCCAGAAAGGUUGCCCUCACCUUCUUGGGAGGUUGCUGAAAGGUUCUAGAACCAAUUUGAAUGUAUAUGUGUCAGGGAGGGGGUUUUGCCACACUGACAAGGAGCAGUUCCCUGACACCAGCUGGGUAUCCUGUAAUUUAACUCAGUUCUUACACUGUUAACCCAGAGCAUCAGAUUCCACAAGGGUUCAGUCCUGCCCUCCACUUCAGCUGCCACUUUAGAGCCGGGUUGAUACCUGUGCUUCUCACCAACUGGCUGUAAAUCAGAGGUUCCCAUGACCCCCCUCCUUGGGUUGGAUUAAUUUGCUAGAGGGGCUCAUAGAACUCAGAGAAACAUUUUCCUUACUAAAUCACCGCUUUAUUAUAAAAGCAUAUGACUCAGGCACAGCCAGAUGGAAGAGAUGCAUAGGGCAAGGCAUGGGAGAGGUUGACGAGCUUCCAUGCCUCCCCAGCUGACCACUCUCUGAGUGAAACCGAGCAGGGCCCUGUGGGCCUCCAGGGCAUGGAGGCCUCUUUUUGUCCCCCAUUUCUUUUUUUAUUUUUUUUUUGCGGUACGCGGGCCUCUCACUGUUGUGGCCUCUCCUGUUGUGGAGCACAGGCUCCGGACACGCAGGCUCAGCGGCCAUGGCUCACGGGCCCAGCCGCUCCGCGGCAUGUGGGAUCUUCCCGGACCUGGGCACGAACCCAUGUCCCCUGCAUCGGCAGGCGGACUCUCAACCACUGCGCCACCAGGGAAGCCCUUGGCCGGGCUUCUUCGACAAUAUUCAAAUAAUUACAGAGGCAAGACUUCCUUUUGAAGGAUGUUCAGCCUGCAUUAGCUGUUCCCCACAUGAACCUUAGGCCUUUGGGAAACACACAAGUGAGUCUAUUCUACUUGUGACAAUAGUCUGUAAGGUUCCCCAGAGAUCUCAAAGAGAAAUAAGCAUGUCUUCCAAAGCAUCCCGAAGCCCAGUAGCAGCUUAUAUUAUGCGUAAGGUAAAAACUCACCACUAGAUGGCAGUCUAUCAGCAGAAAUUGCUUUCUCUUUUAAUGAAUACUUUCUGGACUGAAAGUUUCUGGGAAUAUCAGUAAACAAUAAAAAUAUUAGCUAAUCUUUUCUUUCUCCCGUUUCCCCAUCCUCCUUUCCCCCAAAUCUAUGCAGAUUACAUCUUUAAUUUUAAAUGUUUUUAAUCCUUGUUUCUCUCAUUAAUAUAAAAAAUAAUGAGAAAAAAAAGAUGUAUAAGAAACACAGAAACUAGACGUGGAAAAUUCUGUUUCCCCACCCCACAUACUAGCCCUUUGGGUUUUGACGAUGAAGAUGACUAUAAGAAGAGCAUUUGAGGUGAAGAUGGAGCAAUUAGGAGAAAUACAUUUCGGCUGUUUUAUGAAAAUUUAUUAUAUGUACCUUUUGAAUGAAAGGAAACUCCCUGGAAGGAAUUCAUUGAGGUAAGUGCAGUUCAAAAUUUUUUACCCAAGGCUGGUUUGAUUCUGGAUAAUAUCUGAAUUUAGGUGCUAAUAGUUCAGGUUCAGGAAGGCUUAGGCCCCCUCUGUCAGCUGGUAGCAGGGACAGGAGCCCAGAUGGCCUCUGGAGGGGGACUUGGGGAGGUUUUGCUGGUCCUGUCCCUCCUUAUUCUUUCUAUCCAAGCCGUCAGGGCAUCAUUAUCCUGGUCCAGCACUCUCAGAUUCCAGCUUUCAGUGGUAUUUCCACUGUCCUCAUUGGUCAAGUUCUUCUGGGUCUACUGGAAAGCUCCCAUAAGUUAUUCCAAAGUGUUACUCUUUAUUCCUGUGCCCCAUUUCUCAGGUUAGGUACCUUAGUUAUAGCUAAAUUAUGUUAGCUCUGAAAGUAAUACAUACAGUCUAUAUUUGGUCAUGCAUGUAAAGGUGACCAAAGUAGGUAAAAAAAGCAAAACACAGAACCGUAUUCAAUUCUUCCAUCUGUAUUAAAAGAAGUAAAGGUGUUUGUAGGGAUAUACCUGUAUAUGCAAAUAAGUUAUCUAGAAGGAUAACAGUGAUGUUCAGAAUACUUAACAACUGGUUCAGCACUGGCAGACAGGGAUGGCUGCUGGCCUUCGAGCUGGAGGGAUGCUGGAGACCCCCUAGUAUCUAAGCUUUAACCCUUUAAUGAUUGGUUGAAAUUCUGGGCGGCCAGCACUCCACGGGCUCAAAACAGUGGCUAUUUACCAACCUGAAGGGAAAUAUUUAAAUAUUUUAACCACCUGUGGAUUAUACUAGUGUAUGCCAGCAGCUAUCAACUGUUUCUCCUAGGAAAGGGGAUUGAGGGAGGGAGGGACUUAAUUUUCAACAUGCCUUUUAGUAGUGUUUGGAAUUUUUGUUUGUUUCUUCUUUCCAUUGAACCAUGUACUUGUGGAUAGAAUUUCAUUUUGUUCAGCUCAGAAGGUAGGUAAGUCUUUUCUUAGAAUUUGGUUCUGGACAUUUCUGUCUAGUCAUCUGACUCCAGUCUGUCUACAGCCUCGGGGCCAUCUUCAUUAGUUCCAUCUUGCGGGGAAACUCCUCCACCCAGAGCUUUGCAUAAGCCCCUCUGCUUGCCUGGCGGAACUCCCACCCCCAUCCCCAAAGCUGGUGUCUGAAUCUCCUUCUGUUACUUUUCUUGGACCUGCUAUCUCUCCACCUACCAGACCGCAGUCCCAUUACUAACUAGUGUAGGUAUCACUCUGCUUAAUCUUGUGACCAGGAGAUAAGCACUUUUUUGUGUUCAUACAACUUGUGUGUGUGUAGAACCUGUGUUUAAUGAAGUUUUGCCUAUGCAGCAGCACUGCUGGUAAUGAUUGUUAUCUUAGUGGUGAUGACUCACAUUGCAUUGGCUGUGCCUCCACCUGCCUGUGGAGUGGACACCCCUCCCUCCAGGUCUCCCCCAGUGUUCCUGGGAGGCAUGUGGUACCUCUGUUGUGCUCCCUCCCAUCGUUCCCUGGGAGACUUGCAGCUCCUUGUUGGUGUCCCCUGCCAUGAAGCCAUUGGGGGGCAGUGUCUCAUCUCAGCCACUGUCACAGCCACUGUCAGCCAAAGUUGCUCUCUCCUGGGGCCUAAAGACAUGGAGAGAAGCCCCUCCUCUUCCAUUUUACCACCGUUUUUCACCCAGGUCCCAAAGCGGCAUGACUUGUACCCAGUGUCUCACUGAGCCCCUUCCCUCUCUACCUGCAGGCUCUCCAUCCACAGGCUCAGACAUGAGUCUGUGGAGCUUAGGCAGGGAACCAAAGUUGGAGAGAAGAUUUUUUUUCUUUCCCAUGCCCCUUUCCGCACCCCAGGACUAUUCCUUCCUAUCCUUUCUCCACCCCCAAGGUGUCAUAAAAGCAUCUUCAAGCCAACCCUUCCCUUCAGUCUAAUCAGCUCCUAACCAGGUCCACUGCUCCCUUAGAUUUAUCAGACAGAGUUGACUCUUAGUGGUGGGCACCACUGGGCUCAAGCUGACAGCCUGACCACACACAUUCUAUUCACACUUAUCUCCCUGUGUGGUAGUUAACGGUUGGCCCCGUCAGACUGUGGGUUCCUCAAGUAUGAGUUUCUAACUGUGUGGUAGUCAGCUUUGUCUCCCCGGCACCCAGGCCCUGCCUGUUUACACGGCAGACCUUGAAAAAUACUUUUGAAAGAAAAAUUGAACACAGUCAUUUAGCACAGAUACCCAAAAGAAAACAGCUCAUCUUUACCAAAGGGAGACUCAGGCAACCCACCCAAACGGAGGAAAGCUAUUCUUAAAGGGUGUCCUCUGUCCUACAAAAGUAGCCCUUCAAAGCUCUUUAGGCUCCUUGCGUUCUCAGGUGGAGAAGAUCCGGGGUUAGAGCAGCACUUUCAGAGAGGCUUAAACUGAACUCUUUUUUUCCGUUUUAUUUUUUGGCUGUGCCCCGCAGCAUGUGGGCUCUUAAUUCCUCUACUGGACCGCUAGGGAAGUCCUAAACUGAUCUUGUUUUAAGAGAAUAACAUGUUGAACAACUAUUUGACUAGUUACAUUUUAUCAUGUACUUGCCAAUCGAAAAAACAAAGACAAAAACAGGAAAGGGCACAGUAUGGCAAAACAUACUGAUCAGAAGGGGAAAAGCAGAUGAUACACAGGGACAGAACAUUUUAUUUGUAUCAUUCCUAGUUCAGAGAAAUAAGGUUAACUCAAUGCUCCUUCCCCUACAUGUUUAUAGCGGGAGGUGAAAGUGACAGACUGAGGCAUGGAUUUGUUAAUGCUGGGUAUCAGGUGUUUCUUCGCUUAUUAUUUAGUUGAAUAAGUCUGAUGUCAUGUGAUAGACCACUAAGCAUAAGCGAUUCUUCAACCAAGAAAGAGAAAGAAAUUGUAUAACUCUAUGAUUUGUUCUCUGAGAAGCAAAACCAUGAUUCACGGCAAAGGCAGACACUCUUCAACUGGUGUGUGAGACAAGCAGAGGUAUUCAUUAUGUUUAUUAUGAUAAUAAUCAUUCUUAACACUUCCUUCAAGGUGUAGCAUUUGCAGAAAUUGGAAAAAAUAAGAAUAUUCCAGCAGGCUUACUGACACUCAGUGGUAAUAUCACAAAUAAUUACAGUCAUUGAAAUAAUUUCAGAGAUGAGAAUGAGAGUUUCGUUUGAGAGAGAGAAAAAGAGAGAGAGAGAGAGAGAGAGAGAUUUAUUUAACAAUCUGUUAACGAUCCCGCAGCUCGUAAGAAGUCUCUCUAAUUCCAAAGCAUGACCUCUUUCCUCUACACGGCAAUGCCUGCCCAAUGGGAGAAUGCUAUCAUGUAAAAUCUUCAGAUGAAGACCAUCACGUGAUCUUAAAAAUGGUAUUGUUUGGUGACAUGUUUUGGUUUCCCUGUUCUAUAUACAUAGAAAAACUUAGGUAGAGAGAAACGAAAUGACUUGCUAGGUGAUGAGGCAGGUUGGACUGAAGGAUAGUGGCUGGAAUGACCACGGUGCCAAGUGUUCUGUUCUCCAGCACCUUCUCUGUUUUCUACUCCACGUUCUAGAUAACUCAGAUGCUGGCUUAAAGCCCAUUAGAAGAUCAACCAGUCUCCCAACCCACCCACCAACCAGUAAACCAGCCAGCAUCUGUCAAAGGCUCACUUUGUUGUUCUUGGAACAGUGUUUGUUUGGUGCUGUGGGAAAUGCUGAAGCAAGACCAGACAGGGUUCCUGCCACCCUGGUGCUUGUAAUCUACAUGGAGAGACAAGACAAAGCUACAUGACACAAUUACAGAAUCUGACAGAAUAUAAUAAAGUGCUAAAUUGUGUGGUGUAGGCAAUUAGAGAAGAAGACAGUAUAUAAUAAAGUGCUAAUUGUGUGGUACAGACAAUAAGUAUAAUAGGAGUUCAGUGAAGGGAUGGAUGAGUGUGGGCUGUAGUCUUCAGGAAAGGCUUCUCAUCAUGUCAGGCUGCUGUGUUUAUCCAGUGCAUGAUGGGAAACUGAAUAUGAAAUAGAAGACGGAUUAAGAGCAAAAUAACUGUGCUGUACCAGGCAUCUCCUCUCAGUCUGGGCGAGGACAGAAAGAGAAGGAGUUCUGUGACAGGUGGCAUUCUCCCUUAAAAAAAAAAAAUCAAAUUGAGAAAGGCCUUAUUUUCUUUAUUCAUUGUGUUACAGAAAAUUUCCUCUGAAACUUAUUUUAAAUGGAAUAAUGUGUUACAUACACUAGGAGAGUUCAGUGUUUAAAGAAACUAUGUUGUAAGUCCUUUUCAUUAAUGAAGAAUACUUUUGCAUAAUAGAUAAUCACUUCCUAGUUUACACAGAUUCCUUAAAGCAAGUAAAGAGAUACUCUUGAAUACUACUGGUGGGACUGACAAACCUAUUACAAGGCAAUUUGGCAAUGUGUACCUCAAAUCUUGAAAAUGUGCAUAUGCUUCAGCUUGUCAAUUUCACCUCUGGGAAUUUAUCCUAAGGAAGUAAUCACAACCGACUGCAAGAAUAACUUUUCUGCAAGGAUAAUUAUCACAAAGUUGAGAGAAGCUGGGGAUAACCUGAAAGCCCUCAAAUAAAGGACUGACGAAAUAAAUUAACACACAUGUAGAAAAUGGCAUGUGUAAUUACUAAAAUACUGUAGAAAAAUAUUUAAUAUAGUGGAAAAUAUUUACAAAAUGUGGGUAAGUGAGAAAAGCAAAUUCUAAAACUUGUAGAGUAUGAUUUCUUUUUUUUUUUUUUUCUUUAUGCGGACCUCUCACUGUUGUGGCCUCUCCCGCUGCGGAGCACAGGCUCCGGACGCGCAGGCUCAGCGGCCAUGGCUCACGGGCCCAGCCACUCCGCGGCAUGUGGGAUCUUCCUGGACCGGGGCACGAACCCAUGUCCCCUGCAUCGGCAGGCGGACUCAACCACUGUGCCACCAGGGAAACCCUGAUUUCAUUUUUGAUAAAAAUAUGUUUUAUGCAGAAAAACUUACCUGAGUGGUGAAGAUAUAUGGAAUUUCCACUUAUUUAUGCUUUUGUGUAAUUUCCAAAUGUUUCCCAAGCUACACGGUUUGCUCUGUAAUAAGACAUGUAUUAAAAUCCCAUGGUCCUCUGA